UCCAGAAAUUUCUUUUAAGU
rnacentral:miRNA from 1 species